rnacentral:rRNA from 1 species
GGAAACGAUAGCUAAUACCGCAUAAGAGUAGAUGUUGCAUGACAUUUGCUUAAAAGGUGCAAUUGCAUCACUACCAGAUGGACCUGCGUUGUAUUAGCUAGUUGGUGAGGUAACGGCUCACCAAGGCGACGAUACAUAGCCGACCUGAGAGGGUGAUCGGCCACACUGGGACUGAGACACGGCCCAG